CGAGUCGAGUUGUUUGGGAAUGCAGCUCAAAAUGGGUGGUAAAUUUCAUCUAAAGCUAAAUACCGGCUGGAGACCGAUAGCGCACAAGUAGAGUGAUCGAAAGAUGAAAAGCACUUUGGAAAGAGAGUUAAAAAGCACGUGAAAUUGUUGAAAGGGAAGCGCUUGCGACCAGACCUGCCCGUUGGCGAUCAACCGCCGUUUUCGGUGGUGCACUCGUCAGCGCGCAGGCCAGCAUCGGUUUGGGCGGUCGGACAAAGGCCUUGGGAAUGUAGCUCCCCUCGGGGAGUCUUAUAGCCCUCGGUGCAAUGCGGCCAGCCCGGAUCGAGGACCGCGCUUCGGCUAGGAUGCUGGCGUAAUGGUUGCAAGCGACCCGUCUUGAAACACGGACCAAGGAGUCUAACAUCUAUGCGAGUGUUUGGGUGUCAAACCCAUGCGCGCAAUGAAAGUGAACGGAGGUGAGAACCCGUUAGGGUGCAUCAUCGACCGAUCCUGAUGUCUUCGGAUGGAUUUGAGUACGAGCAUAGCUGUUGGGACCCGAAAGAUGGUGAACUAUGCCUGAAUAGGGUGAAGCCAGAGGAAACUCUGGUGGAGGCUCGCAGCGGUUCYGACGUGCAAAUCGAUCGUCAAAUUUGGGUAUAGGGGCGAAAGACUAAUCGA
rnacentral:rRNA from 1 species